rnacentral:rRNA from 1 species
GACAGAGGGGGCAAGCGUUGUUCGGAAUUACUGGGCGUAAAGGGCGCGUAGGCGGCCUGCUAAGUCGAACGUGAAAUCCCCGAGCUCAACUCGGGAACUGCGUCCGAUACUGGCAGGCUUGAAUCCGGGAGAGGGAUGCGGAAUUCCAGGUGUAGCGGUGAAAUGCGUAGAUAUCAGGAGGAACACCGGUGGCGAAGGCGGGUCCCUGGGCCGAUACUGACGCUGAGGAGCGAAAGCGUGGGGAGCAAACAGG